GUAGGUGGCAAGCGUUGUCCGAAUUAUUGGGCGUAAAGCGCGCGCAGGCGGUUCUUUAAGUCUGAUGUGAAAGACCCACGGGCUCAACCGUGGAGGGUCAUUGGAAACUGGAGAACUGAGUACAGAAGAGGAAAGCGGAAUUCCACGUGUAGCGGUGAAAUGCGUAGAGAUGUGGAGGAACACCAGUGGCGAAGGCGGCUUUCUGGUCUGUAACUGACGCUGAGGCGCGAAAGCGUGGGGAGCAAACAGGAUUAGAUACCCUGGUAGUCCACGCCGUAAACGAUGAGUGCCAAGUGUUAGGGGGUUUCCGCCCCUUAGUGCUGCAGCUAACGCAUUAAGCACUCCGCCUGGGGAGUACGGCCGCAAGGCUGA
rnacentral:rRNA from 1 species